rnacentral:rRNA from 1 species
UACGAAGGGGGCUAGCGUUGCUCGGAAUUACUGGGCGUAAAGGGCGCGUAGGCGGAUACUUAAGUCGGGGGUGAAAGCCCAGGGCUCAACCCUGGAACAGCCUUCGAUACUGGGUAUCUUGAGUACGGGAGAGGUGUGUGGAACUCCGAGUGUAGAGGUGAAAUUCGUAGAUAUUCGGAAGAACACCAGUGGCGAAGGCGACACACUGGCCCGUUACUGACGCCUGAGGCGCGAAAGCGUGGGGAGCAAAACAGG